UACGUAGGUGACCAGCGUUGUCCGGAUUUACUGGGCGUAAAGAGCGCGCAGGCGGUCGUUCAAGUCGAGUGUGAAAGCCCCCGGCUCAACUGGGGAGGGUCACUCGAUACUGAUCGACUUGAAGGCAGGAGAGGGAAGCGGAAUUUCCGGUGUAGCGGUGAAAUGCGUAGAUAUCGGAAGGAACAUCAGUGGCGAAAGCGGCUCUCUGGAACGGUACUGACGCUGAGACGCGAAAGCGUGGGGAGCGAACAGG
rnacentral:rRNA from 1 species